rnacentral:rRNA from 1 species
CACCAAGGCUUCGAUCAGUAGCCGGUCUGAGAGGACGGUCGGCCACCACUGGAACUGAGACCACGGGUCCAGACUCAAUACGGGAGGCAGCCAGUGGGGAAUUUUUCGCAAAUGGGGGCAACCCUUGACGAAGCCAAACGGCCGCGUGGGUUGAUGGAAGUCAUCUUGGUACCGGUUAAAAAG